GUCGAACGAUGAAGCCAGCUUGCUGGUGGAUUAGUGGCGAACGGGUGAGUAACACGUGAGUAACCUGCCCUUGACUCUGGGAUAAGCCUGGGAAACUGGGUCUAAUACCGGAUAUGACUCCUCAUCGCAUGGUGGGGGGUGGAAAGCUUUUUGUGGUUUUGGAUGGACUCGCGGCCUAUCAGCUUGUUGGUGAGGUAAUGGCUCACCAAGGCGACGACAGGUAGCCGGCCUGAGAGGGUGACCGGCCACACUGGGACUGAGACACGGCCCAGACUCCUACGGGAGGCAGCAGUGGGGAAUAUUGCACAAUGGGCGAAAGCCUGAUGCAGCGACGCCGCGUGAGGGAUGACGGCCUUCGGGUUGUAAACCUCUUUCAGUAGGGAAGAAGCGAAAGUGACGG
rnacentral:rRNA from 1 species